AUUGAACGCUGGCGGCAGGCCUAACACAUGCAAGUCGAGCGGAGCGGCGGACGGGUGAGUAAUGCCUAGGAAUCUGCCUGGUAGUGGGGGAUAACGUCCGGAAACGGGCGCUAAUACCGCAUACUAUCAGAUGAGCCUAGGUCGGAUUAGCUAGUUGGUGGGGUAAAGGCCUACCAAGGCGACGAUCCGUAACUGGUCUGAGAGGAUGAUCAGGCAAACAUGGACUGAGACACGGGCCAGACUCCUACGGGAGGCAGCAGUGGGGAAUAUUGGACAAUGGGCGGAAGCCUGAUCCAGCCAAGCCGCGUGUGUGAAGAAGGUCUUCGGAUUGUAAAGCACUUUUAGUUGGGAAGCGUUACCAACAGGAUAAACACCGGCUGACUUCGUGCCAGCAGCCGCGGUAAUUC
rnacentral:rRNA from 1 species